UGACUUUCGGUGCAGCACGGCAGUCUUUCAUGCACGGGUCCUUCUUCCAGAAUUGCUUUUCGGCAGUCUCGCGGUCGUCGUCAUAGAAGGCCGCGGCAUUCGGCAUCUUGAUCGAGGUGAAGUUCUUGUCGCUCAGUUCGAAAUUCUCGUCCUUGACGAUAUCAUUCAUGCUGAGAAGGUACGCCGUCAGGGCAUAAACGUCAUC
rnacentral:misc_RNA from 1 species